rnacentral:lncRNA from 1 species
GUUUUAGCGUUUGUUCCUGCUUUGAGGGCAUGAAACUCCCGUGCCGUAUUAUUGUCCCUAAUAAGAUUAUUCAUUCGCAUUCAUACAGUUCAAAGUGGAUUGGGGAACGCAAUUUAGCUUGAAAUCCAUUGUGUCUCUGGCUAGUUCUGAAAAGAAAUCAAUCAUGGAUUAACAAGUUUCCCUUUCCCUUCUUCGCCGGUCAAUCGCAGACGCCUCCACGCCAGGCUUUGCCAGCUGCAGGCUUGUGGCAAACGGCCGCUGAGGGGCGGCCGGACAGCCGGCGGAGUCUUUUAGCCUAGUAGUGUGGCCUAGGGAGCUCAGAAGGGAUAGUGCUUGGUGUAGGGGGAAACUAGUCAGCUGAACCUGCAGGGAUCUUCCCGGGUUCAGGAGGUAGCUACCUCUAUAGAUGUCGCCACAUGAGAGUCUGAGAGUCGUUCGAAGUUCUUUGGAUAGGUUUAUGUGUCAUGUGCGUGUUGCCCCGCUGAGGGCAUUGGUGGGCAGCACGAGGGGGGUAUAGUGGCCGUGGGGCUGAGGUUGUGUUUUUUGGGGCUGAGGUUGUGUUUUUCUGCAGUGUAAGGACCCUUGGCAACUUGUUCCGCCUUCCCAUAUGAACCAUCCAGGAGAACAGAAAUGAAGAGGCCACACGUACGUUGGUAAUCUAAUGUAUCCCAGAAUCCCAGCCCAAAAUAACCGUCAUAGCUUAGAAUUGAACCUGAGUGGAAUUCGGAAGAAUUCAUUCUCUAUGGUAUCACUUCAGUAAAAAUAACUACAGCGGUUGAGGAAAGUCUGGCUACGUUAAGACAGCUAUACACCUGACAAGAAGGAAAUUCUGCAGCUGGAAAUUCUGCAGCUGACUAGCAUCUUAAGCUAUGAAUACGAACGACAAGGGAGCCUAAGGCUUUAUGUAUCCGAAGGAUGAUGUAGCUAUUGUUUGGAAGCGGCCACCUUCUCCACUGCCGACUCUAGAAGAUCUUCCUUUUCAACCUUAUCCCCCUUCAACCUUAUCGCCUGCCGCCUCUAUCCCCCGCCGCCUUCCUCCCCUGCCGCCUCCUCCCCUGCCGCUUCCUCCCCUGCCGCCUCUAUCUUCUGUCGCCUCCUCCACUGCCGCCUUCUUCCCCGCCGCCUUCCUCCCCUGCCGCCUUCCUCCCCUUCCCCCUCCUCCCCUGCCGCUCCUCGCCUGCCGCCUAUAUCCCCCGCCUUCCUCCCCUCCCGCCUCAUUUCCUGCCGCCUCUAUCCCCUUCCCCCUCCUCCCCUUCCGCCUCCUCCCCUGCCGCCUCUAUCCCCUGCCGCUCCUCGCCUGCCGCCUUCUUCCCCGCCGACCUCAUCCCCUGCCGGCUCCUCCCCUGCCANNNNNNNNNNNNNNNNNNNNNNNNNNNNNNNNNNNNNNNNNNNNNNNNNNNNNNNNNNNNNNNNNNNNNNNNNNNNNNNNNNNNNNNNNNNNNNNNNNNNNNNNNNNNNNNNNNNNNNNNNNNNNNNNNNNNNNNNNNNNNNNNNNNNNNNNNNNNNNNNNNNNNNNNNNNNNNNNNNNNNNNNNNNNNNNNNNNNNNNNNNNNNNNAGGGAGCGACNCCUGCAGGUCACGGCUUUCCUGCAUGCACGAGAGUUCCUCAUUGGCUUCCAUUAGGAAGCCUAGUGUGGAGCGAUAGUCUUGCUUGUUGCCGAACUGUCUGACUUUUUCAUACAUGUGCGAUGGCGGUGAGAUGCCCUGACGCUGGCUGGUCACGCCUUACGUACUUCUCAUACGUUUCACUCGCACACCCAGUUAUGUUCCCUUCUGCAGACAGACUCCUGACAAAGGCUGGGCGUUAUGUGCAGCUGCCGCUUUGCUGCAAUGCGGUACAGAUCCUCCAUCUCCCCACCCUCCUCUCCCUCCACCGCCUCCUCCUCCCCUGCACCCUUCCCAUCCGCCAUCUGCUCAUCAGAGCUCACAACACUCACACCUGUCCACUGUCACUUCCACCACUGCUGUGGAUCAAAGAGCUAGCGCCCCAUCCUCUGGUUGGGCAUCUGGCAGUCAGUCGGGCGAGGCUGGCAGCUGGGCAGGGUCACAACCAACUGCUCACCUGGGCAGGGUCACAACCAACUGCUCACCAGACCCACUGGGCUGGGGCGACUGCGGCAUGACACUGAUAUCCACCAGGGAAGCAGCGGCAACUGCCACCUGCACCACCUCCAACACACUCCACGAGUGUGUCUGCACACUUCUAUCAACACGCAUUGCCAGCAUGACUCACACACUGUGCCUUUCUGGCAGCUAUCUUUGAGUGCUGGUGGGAUGGUGAGGGUGGACUGCCUGUCAAGGUGGGCGAGUCGCUGCUGGUGCUGUCUCUCGUCUUGCUGGUUGUUGCACCCUUGUCUGUCUGCUCCUCAGCAGCAUUCUCGAGCUCUUUGAAUAGAUUCCGGCCAACCUGCAGCAAAUUUAGAAGCAAAAUGCGGUGGGCUUUUAGCUCUGGCUCCACACCAGUAAAAAUCGGCGGUCCUAUGCGAUUGACAGACAGCUUCAAAUUGGUGGGCAACUUAUAGUUUGGAUGUGCCUUGCAUGCAAGGUUGAACAACUGGACCUCGCGAUUGUAAGCAUCUCUUGCCGUUUUGAGGCGUGUUACCUUGGUGAGCACGGGUGGGCUUCAUGCCAUAAUGGUGGCUCCUUCCGCUGUCGUCGUUAGAGCGUCGGUUCAGAGCAGACAUUGAUGUAGUGCUGUUUGAGGUUGCAGGAUUUUGUGGUCUCCAAUGCCAAACUGUAACGUUGCUUGGUCCCUAUAGGGUACUGCAUCAUAUGCUAACUAACUCGAGGACUUAGAAGUCCACAGAUUGGUGGUAUUGAAGGAUACCGUUUUUAGGUCAAGAUCAGUAUUUUAACUGGGUUGGACUGUUGCACCAUAAAGCCCUAUCGUUCAAGAAACGCCUUUGGUGUUAGAGAAUACUCAAUUUGGAUGAGGGGCAAAUGGGCCUAACGUCCUUACAGAGGACCAGAACAUAACUACGACAUUUACAGCGAUCAUAGUAAUACAGAUGCUCAAAGUAGCCUGAACCUUUGCUUCAUCCUCACUACUUCGGGUAUUACGCGUGUGCCAACCAUAUCAAUCCAACACAGGAACCGCUACUGGCAUCAUAUGCCCAGGAGUAUCAUAUGCAUACCAAGGAGGAGCCCGGGCGAUUACCCAUGGAGCCAUUCUUAUAACAUACACUACUAAGAUUCGUUGUGACAUGUGGUUCAAAACCUUGCAGGGUUGUCCUCAACACCAAUGAUGCUGUGCAGAGGCCCUAAGGCACUGAUUGGGUCGGUAACCCAUGGGUUACCCAUCGGUUACCCACCUUCAACCCCCCGUAGCCCAUUGGUAACCCCCUUGUAAGUUCCUACCCAGCAGGAGGGGUAACACGGCCCCAGGGUAACCCCCUCCGUUGCCCUGGACUAUGGACAUGGGCCUAUAGGCUACUCAUCUUAUUUGCUGCGCAUUUCGUGAAUUCAUUUUAGUACAUUUCUGUAAAUGUACAUGUUACAUAUACAUGUUGAACCUACAGUAUCCCGGUAGCUCGGGAAGCAUCGUUCGCCAAUAUGAAUUAAAGGCCUCUAACGCUGCAGGAAAAUUUUAGUAGAAGAUUUAGAACUAUGUAUGUAUUCAGUUUUAGCGUUUGUUCCUGCUUUGAGGGCAUGAAACUCCCGUGCCGUAUUAUUGUCCCUAAUAAGAUUAUUCAUUCGCAUUCAUACAGUUCAAAGUGGAUUGGGGAACGCAAUUUAGCUUGAAAUCCAUUGUGUCUCUGGCUAGUUCUGAAAAGAAAUCAAUCAUGGAUUAACAAGUUUCCCUUUCCCUUCUUCGCCGGUCAAUCGCAGACGCCUCCACGUCAGGCUUUGCCAGCUGCAGGCUUGUGGCAAACGGCCGCUGAGGGGCGGCCGGACAGCCGGCGGAGUCUUUUAGCCUAGUAGUGUGGCCUAGGGAGCUCAGAAGGGAUAGUGCUUGGUGUAGGGGGAAACUAGUCAGCUGAACCUGCAGGGAUCUUCCCGGGUUCAGGAGGUAGCUACCUCUAUAGAUGUCGCCACAUGAGAGUCUGAGAGUCGUUCGAAGUUCUUUGGAUAGGUUUAUGUGUCAUGUGCGUGUUGCCCCGCUGAGGGCAUUGGUGGGCAGCACGAGGGGGGUAUAGUGGCCGUGGGGCUGAGGUUGUGUUUUUUGGGGCUGAGGUUGUGUUUUUCUGCAGUGUAAGGACCCUUGGCAACUUGUUCCGCCUUCCCAUAUGAACCAUCCAGGAGAACAGAAAUGAAGAGGCCACACGUACGUUGGUAAUCUAAUGUAUCCCAGAAUCCCAGCCCAAAAUAACCGUCAUAGCUUAGGAUUGAACCUGAGUGGAAUUCGGAAGAAUUCAUUCUCUAUGGUAUCACUUCAGUAAAAAUAACUACAGCGGUUGAGGAAAGUCUGGCUACGUUAAGACAGCUAUACACCUGACAAGAAGGAAAUUCUGCAGCUGGAAAUUCUGCAGCUGACUAGCAUCUUAAGCUAUGAAUACGAACGACAAGGGAGCCUAAGGCUUUAUGUAUCCGAAGGAUGAUGUAGCUAUUGUUUGGAAGCGGCCACCUUCUCCACUGCCGACUCUAGAAGAUCUUCCUUUUCAACCUUAUCCCCCUUCAACCUUAUCGCCUGCCGCCU